GCUAAGUCCGCACUCGGGGUCCGGGACGUAGUCACGUAGCAGAGUCACCGCUGUUAGGGUUCCGGGAAGACAUUUUUCUCACGCUCGCUGCCGCGCUUCGUUCUGCCCCGGCAAUUCUUCCGCAGAAGGCUUGAAGUCAUGGCGGGUCCUGGCAGAUCCAUGCUGUAUUCGCUCCUUCUAUUUUCCACUAUUCUCUCACUUCUUGAAAUGUAUAGAGGGAAAUUGGCAUCUUCUGAGUUGCUGACGAUUUUUGGUGGCUUUAUCAGCUCCCUUUUAUUUCUCGUGCUGCUAACAUUCAUCGGGAAUUAUCAAGAAUCAAGUGGGACAAAAACAGGGUGGAGUGCUGUUGCACCGGCAGAAAUUGUUGCUCUUAUUGCUGCUAGUACAGUUCAUCGUGUUUGUGUCACAACAUGUUUCUUAUUUUCGGCUGGACUUCUAUACAAGGUUAACAAACUUUCGGGGAUGAUGCUUGCUAAAAGUGAAUCAAAAGUGCGGCGCUAUUGAAUGAGUGGCUCAUCAAUUGCCUAUCAGUAGAGUGGAAAGCCUAUAAUUGUGCAAAUAUGGGGCUUUGUUAAGAUUAGACUCUUCAACUUUACAUCUGGAUACACAGAUUAUUGAGGAUGAUGCCUUUCACAAAAUGAUGUUUACUAGUCUAAAAUAGGUGAGAUUUGGUACAUUGUUACUGGUCUGGGUUGAUGCCCUCAUUGAGGGGAGACCAUAAAGAGGGCACGCAUUUCUUUCCAUAAAGAUGGAUCUUGAUGUUUUUUUUUCGACCGGAUGAUAAUGUCAUGCUUGUGAUUUGAAAAGCCGGGUUGUAUACUUCUUAUUCAAUUUUGCAGCAACUGGGACAUCAAUGCUUUUUCAGAGAGAGCAGGUUGUGAUUGAUACAUGGAGCGUGGACCCAGGCUAUGGCCUACUGUAGUGCACGGGUGAUUCAAAUGACAAGGCCCUUGCAUGCCAAGUGGCAAGGGUCGACAUGAGGACAUUAUGCCGGCACUGUAAAAAUAGCUAUUGCAUGAGUCAUAGGUUAGGGAUUUUCACAUACAGACACUGUAAAAAUCCUCCCUUUCUGCACAUAACAGCUUCCAGUGGACUUUCGUCCUGAGAGAUAUUUUGGUUGAAGACAGACAAGGCAUGAUGGUCAUUUCAUAAUUUAUGGCGCAGAUUGGGAUUUGUUAUGCUUGUGCAUGUAGCUGUCGGAAGCUCAGGUUUUGUUUGUAAUAAAAGCUCGACGAUUAUAGACGGGAAGGCUCUUGGACUUACAAAGGGCCGAGCUGGUCGUCCCUAUCUCUGUUCUUUGGAUGCUGCAGUCCAGGUUCAGCCAAAUUUUUUUGGAAUCUCCAACGUCCACAUCUGCUGGCCUCCUUCCAGGAUCCUCCUCAACCCAUCCAUGGAGAAAUUAUAACCUGCACCAUGAGCAUCACACGACUGAGACAAGGUGUGCAGGGCGGCAAUCCAGGACCUGGUCUAGUGGACCUGGUCCAUCACCAUGCACGCCAUGUCAACGGUCCAAACCGGUUCUUUCUGCAGGAGGAGCCAAUUUGGACCAAUAUGGGAUUUCCCUAGUUUACCUGGUGUAGCAUGUGUGACAAAUUCAAAGAUAAACACCCCAAAUCACAGAACUGCUGGAUACCUGGGGAGGACAAAAAACAACAAAAACAAGGAGAAAGAUGAAGGGAUGCUUGACUGCUUGUUAACCAAGUGCUAAUUCUUUGCCCCCUCUUUUCAAGGACAAGAUUGGCCCAAAGGGACAUAUGCCAUGUAACUGCUAUACUAAAUCUAUAUUACUGUUGAAAUAUCCAUGUAACAUGCCAAUUUGAUAUUCACCUGAUGUACUCGAGCCAAGUUUGCCCAUGCAUGCGGUUUGCAUCCAUUUUUU